rnacentral:rRNA from 1 species
UCAAGCUACUAAGGGCGUACGGUGAAUGCCUUGGCGCUAGGAGUCGAUGAAGGACGUGGUAAGCUGCGAUAAGCUUCGGUGAGCCGCAAACAGGCUUUGACCCGAGGAUUUCCGAAUGGGGAAACCCGAUCAGGCUAAUCCCUGAUUAUCCACGGCUGAAUACAUAGGCCGUGAGAAGACAACCCGGGGAAGUGAACCAUCUCAGUACCCGGAGGAAGAGAAAACAACCGUGAUUCCGAUAGUAGUGGCGAGCGAACUCGGAACAGCCUAAACCGUGCGAUUCGAAAGGAGAGCCCGGGGUCGUAGGACCACAAUCAUGCCGAAUUUCUGUUCCGGGCCGCGACCGCGAGGGAGCGGAAGAGGAGCAGGGAUUCGGGAUGAAACGAAUGAUAAGGGAGCGUUAGGAGAACGGCAUGGGAAGGCCGGCCAGAGAGGGUGAGAGCCCCGUAUCUGAAAAUGCAAUCUUCGUUCAAGUGGUUCCUGAGUACCGCGGGACACGUGGAACCCUGCGGGAAUCUACCGGGACCAUCCGGUAAGGCUAAAUACUCGUUUGUGACCGAUAGUGAACCAGUACCGUGAGGGAAAGGCGAAAAGAACCCCUGUGAGGGGAGUGAAAUAGAACCUGAAACCGUAUGCGUACAAGCAGUGGGAGCCUCGAAAGGGGUGACUGCGUACCUUUUGUAUAAUGGGUCAGCGAGUUACUUUUAGUGGCGAGCUUAACCGUCUUGGGUAGGCGUAGGGAAACCGAGUCUUAAUAGGGCGUUUAGUCGCUAGGAGUAGACCCGAAACCAGUCGAUCUAUCCAUGGCCAGGGUGAAGGUGGGGUAAUUCCCACUGGAGGCCCGAACCGGGAUCUGUUGAAAAAGAUUCGGAUGAGCUGUGGAUAGGAGUGAAAGGCUAAUCAAGGCUGGAGAUAGCUGGUUCUCCCCGAAAGCUAUUUAGGUAGCGCCUCGUGUAUCACUCUUGGGGGUAGAGCACUGUUUCGGCUAGGGCUGCGUCUAGCGGUACCAAACCGAUGCAAACUCCGAAUACCAAGAAGUGUAAUCACGGGAGACACACGGCGGGUGCUAACGUCCGUCGUGAAGAGGGCAACAACCCAGACCGCCAGCUAAGGUCCCAAAAUUACAGUUAAGUGGAAAACGAUGUGGAAAGUCUCAGACAGCCAGGAGGUUGGCUUAGAAGCAGCCAUCCUUUAAAGAAAGCGUAAUAGCUCACUGGUCGAGUCGGUCCGCGCGGAAGAUUUAACGGGGCUAAACUGUAUACCGAAGCUGCGGAUGCGUAGCAAUACGCGUGGUAGGGGAGCGUUCUGUACGCCUGUGAAGGUGGAUCGAGAGGUCUGCUGGAGGUAUCAGAAGUGCGAAUGCUGACAUGAGUAACGAUAAAACGGGUGAAAAACCCGUUCGCCGAAAGCCCAAGGUUUCCUGCGCAACGGUAAUCGUCGCAGGGUGAGUCGGCUCCUAAGGCGAGGCCGAAAGGCGUAGUCGAUGGGAAACAGGUUAAUAUUCCUGUACCUUGCAUUACUGCGAUGGGGGGACGGAGUAGGUUAGGCCAGCCGGGUGUUGGAUAUCCCGGUUUAAGCAUGUAGGGAGCAUCUUUUGGCAAAUCCGAAGGUGCAAUUCCGAGGUGUGAUGACGAGUUCCUUUUUGGGAACGAAGUGGUUGAUACCAAACUUCCAGGAAAAGCCUCUAAGCUUCAGGUAAUGCGAGACCGUACCGGAAACCGACACAGGUGGGCAGGGAGAGAAUCCUAAGGCGCUUGAGAGAACUCUGGUGAAGGAACUAGGCAAAUUAGCACCGUAACUUCGGGAUAAGGUGCGCCCUUGGUAUGUGAAGGACCUCGCGUCCGGAGCAGAUAAGGGUUGCAGUGAUUAGGUGGUUGCGACUGUUUAUUAAAAACACAGCACUCUGCAAACACGAAAGUGGACGUAUAGGGUGUGAUGCCUGCCCGGUGCCGGAAGGUUAAUUGAUGGGGUUAGCGAAAGCGAAGCUCUUGAUCGAAGCCCCGGUAAACGGCGGCCGUAACUAUAACGGUCCUAAGGUAGCGAAAUUCCUUGUCGGGUAA